rnacentral:misc_RNA from 1 species
UCUCCGUUGGUGAACCAGCGGAGGGAUCAUUACUGGAAUCGCAAGAUCCCACAACCCCUGUGAACCUACCGAAACGUUGCCUCGGCGGGCGCCCGGCCCCGCCCCGGGCGCUGAUCCCGCCGGCCGCCCCCUACUCUUGUCUCUGCAGCGUGGCAUCUCAGACUCCCAGAAAACAAGUAAAAACUUUCAACAACGGAUCUCUUGGCUCUA